rnacentral:rRNA from 1 species
AGAGUUUGAUCCUGGCUCAGGACGAACGCUGGCGGCGUGCUUAACACAUGCAAGUCGAACGAUGAAGCUGGAGCUUGCUCCGGUGGAUUAGUGGCGAACGGGUGAGUAACACGUGAGCAAUCUGCCCUUGACUCUGGGAUAACUGCGGGAAACUGUAGCUAAUACCGGAUACGACACCUUGGGGCAUCCCAGGGUGUGGAAAGAAUUUCGGUCAAGGAUGAGCUCGCGGCCUAUCAGCUAGUUGGUGAGGUAAUGGCUCACCAAGGCGACGACGGGUAGCCGGCCUGAGAGGGUGACCGGCCACACUGGAACUGAGACACGGUCCAGACUCCUACGGGAGGCAGCAGUGGGGAAUAUUGCACAAUGGGCGAAAGCCUGAUGCAGCAACGCCGCGUGAGGGAUGAAGGCCUUCGGGUUGUAAACCUCUUUUAGCAGGGAAGAAGCGAAAGUGACGGUACCUGCAGAAAAAGCACCGGCUAACUACGUGCCAGCAGCCGCGGUAAUACGUAGGGUGCAAGCGUUGUCCGGAAUUAUUGGGCGUAAAGAGCUCGUAGGCGGUUUGUCGCGUCUGCUGUGAAAAUCCAAGGCUCAACCUUGGACCUGCAGUGGGUACGGGCAAGCUAGAGUGCGGUAGGGGAGAUGGGAAUUCCUGGUGUAGCGGUGGAAUGCGCAGAUAUCAGGAGGAACACCAAUGGCGAAGGCACAUCUCUGGGCCGUAACUGACGCUGAGGAGCGAAAGCGUGGGGAGCGAACAGGAUUAGAUACCCUGGUAGUCCACGCCGUAAACGGUGGGUGCUAGUUGUGGGCCACAUUCCACGUGGUCUGUGACGAAGUUAACACAUUAAGCACCCCGCCUGGGGAGUACGGUCGCAAGACUAAAACUCAAAGGAAUUGACGGGGGCCCGCACAAGCGGCGGAGCAUGCGGAUUAAUUCGAUGCAACGCGAAGAACCUUACCAAGACUUGACAUAUAGUAGAAAAGCGUAGAAAUACGCUCCCCGCAAGGCUGCUAUACAGGUGGUG